rnacentral:rRNA from 1 species
ACGGAAGGCAGCAGUGAGGAAUAUUGGUCAAUGGGCGGAAGCCUGAACCAGCCAAGUCGCGUGAAGGAUGAAGGUAUUAUGUAUUGUAAACUUCUUUAGCAGCAGAGUAAUAAGGGGGUCGUGACCCCCGAUGCAAGUAUGCUGAAAAUAAGGAUCGGCUAACUCCGUGCCAGCAGCCGCGGUAAUACGGAGGAUCCGAGCGUUAUCCGGAUUUAUUGGGUUUAAAGGGUGCGCAGGCGGUUUUUUAAGUCAGUGGUUAAAUCGUGAGGCUCAACCUCAUCACGCCAUUGAUACUGGAAGACUUGAGUGCGGUUGAGGUUGGCGGAAUUCGUCGUGUAGCGGUGAAAUGCAUAGAUAUGACGAAGAACACCGAUUGCGUAGGCAGCUGACCAAGCCGUAAAUGACGCUCAUGCACGAAAGUGCGGGGAUCGAACAGGAUUAGAUACCCUGGUA